rnacentral:rRNA from 1 species
AUCCUGGCUCAGAAUCAACGCUGGCGGCGUGCCUAACACAUGCAAGUCGAACGCGGUUACCCCGCAAGGGGUAACUGAGUGGCGAACGGGUGAGUAACACGUGGGUGACCUACCUUCGAGUGGGGGAUAACGUCCCGAAAGGGACGCUAAUACCGCAUAACAUCCUGCCUUUGAACAGGCGGAGAUCAAAGCUGGGGAUCGCAAGACCUGGCGCUUGAUGAGGGGCCCGCGUCCGAUUAGCUAGUUGGUGAGGUAACGGCUCACCAAGGCGACGAUCGGUAACCGGCCUGAGAGGGCGGACGGUCACACUGGGACUGAGACACGGCCCAGACUCCUACGGGAGGCAGCAGUGGGGAAUUGUUCACAAUGGGCGCAAGCCUGAUGACGCAACGCCGCGUGGAGGAUGAAGGUCUUCGGAUUGUAAACUCCUGUUGCCCGGGACGAAAUGCUCCAACCUAAUACGUUGGAGUUUGACGGUACCGGGUGAGGAAGCCCCGGCUAACUCUGUGCCAGCAGCCGCGGUAAUACAGAGGGGGCAAGCGUUGUUCGGAAUUACUGGGCGUAAAGGGCGCGUAGGCGGCCUGCUAAGUCGAACGUGAAAUCCCUGGGCUCAACCCAGGAACUGCGUCCGAUACUGGUUGGCUUGAAUUCGGGAGAGGGAUGCGGAAUUCCAGGUGUAGCGGUGAAAUG